rnacentral:rRNA from 1 species
AGCGAACGCUGGCGGCAGGCCUAACACAUGCAAGUCGAACGAAGUCUUCGGACUUAGUGGCGGACGGGUGAGUAACACGUGGGAACGUGCCUUUAGGUUCGGAAUAACUCAGGGAAACUUGUGCUAAUACCGAAUGUGCCCUUCGGGGGAAAGAUUUAUCGCCUUUAGAGCGGCCCGCGUCUGAUUAGCUAGUUGGUGAGGUAAUGGCUCACCAAGGCUACGAUUAGUAGCUGGUCUGAGAGGAUGACCAGCCACAUUGGGACUGAGACACGGCCCAAACUCCUACGGGAGGCAGCAGUGGGGAAUCUUGCGCAAUGGGCGAAAGCCUGACGCAGCCAUGCCGCGUGGAUGAUGAAGGUCUUAGGAUUGUAAAAUCCUUUCACCGGUGAAGAUAAUGACUGUAGCCGGAGAAGAAGCCCCGGCUAACUUCGUGCCAGCAGCCGCGGUAAUAC